rnacentral:misc_RNA from 1 species
AAGAAAGUUAAGACGACUCAACUGGUAGUCUUCGGUGUGACAAACGACAAGUAGAUAUACAAUUUUCCGACACGAUAUCAACCUAUAGCUGCAAGUUUCAAACACCUGCAGUGUGUAUCUUCUGUACAUGUCUAAAUUUUAACCCCACAAGGCAGAGACAUCACAAAUUAGAAAUUGUACAUUAGAAAUCGGAACUUAGGCAAUUUUUGUAAGGUAUAUGAUGGGAGCUUUAUUAGAGGAAGUCAUAGUUCGUCUUAAGUAAUGAAUUCUUUGUCUAUAAUAUCCAUCAAAUGU